ensembl:snRNA U6 U6 spliceosomal RNA
GUAGUCCACGUUUCAGCAGUACGUAUACCAAAACUGAAAUGAUACAGAGAAGAUUAGUAUGGCCCUUGCACAAGGAUGACACACAAAUUCGUGAAGCAUUCCAAAUUUUA